rnacentral:rRNA from 2 species
UACGUAGGGUGCGAGCGUUAAUCGGAAUUACUGGGCGUAAAGCGUGCGUAGGCGGUUCGUUAAGUUCGUUGUGAAAGCCCCGGGCUCAACCUGGGAACUGCAAUGGAAACUGGCGGGCUUGAGUGUGGCAGAGGGGGGUGGAAUUCCGCGUGUAGCAGUGAAAUGCGUAGAGAUGCGGAGGAACACCGAUGGCGAAGGCAGCCCCCUGGGCCAACACUGACGCUCAGGCACGAAAGCGUGGGGAGCAAACAGG